rnacentral:rRNA from 1 species
GAUGAACGCUGGCGGCGUGCCUAAUACAUGCAAGUCGAGCGAACAGACGAGGAGCUUGCUCCUCUGACGUUAGCGGCGGACGGGUGAGUAACACGUGGAUAACCUACCUAUAAGACUGGGAUAACUUCGGGAAGCCGGAGCUAAUACCGGAUAAUAUAUUGAACCGCAUGGUUCAAUAGUGAAAGACGGUUUUGCUGUCACUUAUUGAUGGAUCCGCGCCGCAUUAGCUAGUUGGUAAGGUAACGGCUUACCAAGGCAACGAUGCGUAGCCGACCUGAGAGGGUGAUCGGCCAGACUGGAACUGAGACACGGUCCAGACUCCUACGGGAGGCAGCAGUAGGGAAUCUUCCGCAAUGGGCGAAAGCCUGACGGAGCAACGCCGCGUGAGUGAUGAAGGUCUUCGGAUCGUAAAACUCUGUUAUUAGGGAAGAACAAAUGUGUAAGUAACUAUGCACGUCUUGACGGUACCUAAUCAGAAAGCCACGGCUAACUACGUG